rnacentral:rRNA from 1 species
CCAAUAGCGUACGUAUAUUAAAGUUGUUGCAGUUAAAAAGCUCGUAGUUGAAUUUCGGGGUCAGUAGGUUGGUCAUGCCUCCGGUAUGUACUGGUCUCACUGAUUCCUCCUUCCUGAUGAGCCGUAAUGCCAUUAAUUUGGUGUUGCGGGGAAUCUGGACUGUUACUUUGAAAAAAUUAGAGUGUUUAAAGCAAGCUAACGCUUGAAUACAUUAGCAUGGAAUAAUGGAAUAGGACGUUCGAUCCUAUUUUGUUGGUUUCUAGGAUUGACGUAAUGAUUAAUAGGGAUAGUUUGGGGCAUUAGUAUUCAAUUGUCAGAGGUGAAAUUCUUGGAUUUAUUGAAGACUAACUACUGCGAAAGCAUUUGCCAAGGAUGUUUUCAUUAAUCAAGAACGAAAGUUAGGGGAUCGAAGACGAUCAGAUACCGUCGUAGUCUUAACCAUAAACUAUGCCGACUAGGGAUCGGAUGAUGUUAAUUUUUUAAUGACUCAUUCGGCGCCUUACG